UCCAUGAGGGAAGAAUCUAUUAAUAAAUAUUCAACCGAAAGAAAAAAAUAAGCUACUGAAGCGAGUGAUUUGGUAAAUGCCUUUCAAAGACCAAGAGCUUGGCCUUCUUUCAGUUAUCAAAUUUCGGAAAUUCAUCAUUUUUUGGAAAAGAUUUUGGAGUGGAGAUUGAUGGAAGAAAAAGCUUCAGCGAAUAGAGGAGCUUCUCUCAUUGCUCAGAGUAUUGUUCGUGAGGAUAGAAUGCAGUCUUAUGUGGCAGUUGGUCACCCUCUUUGGCUACAACACGUUUUUGAGGAGGAGAGAAUUUCAUCUUAAUUGCUGGUUUGGUCCCUGUUUCUCUCUGGUUUCUGGUCUUUGUUGUAGGUUUUUUUUUUGGUGAAUAGUAUAUCUUCUUCUUACCAUUCUCGUCUACUAUCCUGUUUUGUUUGUACACAGGUUGUGUGAUGUCAGUUUGUAUAUCCUAUCAAUAUAAUCAAUCCAUUCAGUGAAAAAAAAAAAAAAGAAUUAAACAAAGAAGGGUAUCUAUAAUGUAUGACCACAGACGAUUGGAAAAUUAGGUGAACAAAAUGGACACUGUUUCUACAGUAAUAAAAUCUCUCCUGCAAAGUGUUUGGUGUCGGCCAAGAGUUUAUCACGGUGAACUUGAUACGACAGAAUCAGAAUGGAGUGGAUUUUUCAAUUUCGUUAAGGCCAAGGUGAGUAGAUUUAUACUAUCCGGUGAUAAGUAGUGUGGGAUGAGGAGAGGAGACAGAGGUGGUACCGGCGGUGAUGAAUUAAUUGGUGGUGAUGGUGAUGAUGGCAUUAUCGAUUAUGAGUGAAUGUGUGUGUGGUGUAGAAAGCUUGUGUGACUAGAGGCUGAGCAGUUGUUGUGGUGAGCUGAGACAGAGACAAAAGAGGUGUGGUGGCUGGAGUGGAGUUGUGAAGGUGGCCGUCAUAACCUAAUUCCACAAUCAAAGAAGAAUUGUGAAAUACGGUA